rnacentral:rRNA from 1 species
GAUGAACGCUGACAGAAUGCUUAACACAUGCAAGUCAACUUGAACUUCGGUUUGGGUGGCGGACGGGUGAGUAACGCGUAAAGAACUUGCCUCACAGCUAGGGACAACAUUUGGAAACGAAUGCUAAUACCUGAUAUUAUGAUUAUAUGGCAUCGUAUAAUUAUGAAAGCUAUAUGCGCUGUGAGAGAGCUUUGCGUCCCAUUAGCUAGUUGGAGAGGUAACAGCUCACCAAGGCGAUGAUGGGUAGCCGGCCUGAGAGGGUGAUCGGCCACAAGGGGACUGAGACACGGCCCUUACUCCUACGGGAGGCAGCAGUGGGGAAUAUUGGACAAUGAACCGAGAGUCUGAUCCAGCAAUUCUGUGUGCACGAUGAAGUUUUUCGGAAUGUAAAGUGCUUUCAGUUGGGAAGAAAAAAAUGACGGUACCAACAGAAGAAGUGACGGCUAAAUACGUG